GACGAACGCUGGCGGCGUGCCUAACACAUGCAAGUCGAACGGAACUUUUUCGGAAGAUUCUUUCGGGAUGAUUUUGACUAAGUUUAGUGGCGGACGGGUGAGUAACGCGUGAGGAACCUGCCUCGGAGUGGGGAAUAACAGUUGGAAACAGCUGCUAAUACCGCAUGAUGCAACGGAAUCGCAUGAUUCUGAAGUCAAAGAUUUAUUGCUGAAAGAUGGCCUCGCGUCUGAUUAGCUAGUUGGCGGGGUAACGGCCCACCAAGGCGACGAUCAGUAGCCGGUCUGAGAGGAUGAACGGCCACAUUGGGACUGAGAUACGGCCCAG
rnacentral:rRNA from 1 species